rnacentral:rRNA from 1 species
AUUGAACGCUGGCGGCAUGCUUUACACAUGCAAGUCGAACGGUAACAGGCCGCAAGGUGCUGGCGAGUGGCGAACGGGUGAGUAAUGCAUCGGAACGUGCCCAGUCGUGGGGGAUAACGCAGCGAAAGCUGCGCUAAUACCGCAUACGAUCUAUGGAUGAAAGCGGGGGACCGUAAGGCCUCGCGCGAUUGGGGCGGCCGAUGUCAGAUUAGGUAGUUGGUGCGGUACAGGCUUACCAAGCCAACGAUCUGUAGCUGGUCUGAGAGGACGACCAGCGACACUGAGACUUAGACACGGCCCAGAAUCCUACGGGAGGCAGCAGUGGGGAAUUUUGGACAAUGGGCGCAAGCCUGAUCCAGCAAUGCCGCUUGCAGGAAGAGGGCCUUCGGGUUGUAAGCUGCUUUUGUACGGAACGAAACGGUCCUGGUUAAUACCCGGGGCUAAUGACGGUACCGUAAGAAUAAGCACCGGCUAACUACGUGCCAGCCGCCGCCGUAAUAC